CUGGCGCGUACACAUAAGACAUCUUGCAAUUUUGGUAUAUACUUUGUUUAUUUCCGAACCUCACGAUGCUUGAACACAUUAGAGCGAUAUCUGAAAGACAAGGCCAAAGGUUCUACCACAAAUACAGGUUCAGGCAGUACUUCCCCUGAGGAAUGUAUUCUGGAAGUCGAUGAUAAUCAUGAAGAACAAGAGUUGAUUGAACCG